UCGGGUUGUAACUGCUUUUGUACAGAACGAAAAGUCUUGGGUUAAUACCGUGGGAUCAUGACGGUACUGUAAGAAUAAGCACCGGCUAACUACGUGCCAGCAGCCGCGGUAAUACGUAGGGUGCAAGCGUUAAUCGGAAUUACUGGGCGUAAAGCGUGCGCAGGCGGUUAUGUAAGACAGAGGUGAAAUCCCCGGGCUCAACCUGGGAACGGCCUUUGUGACUGCAUAGCUAGAGUACGGUAGAGGNGGAUGGAAUUCCGCGUGUAGCAGUGAAAUGCGUAGAUAUGCGGAGGAACACCGAUGGCGAAGGCAAUCCCCUGGACCUGUACUGACGCUCAUGCACGAAAGCGUGGGGAGCAAACAGAAUUAAAUACCCUGGUAGUCCACGCCCUAAACGAUG
rnacentral:rRNA from 1 species